AGCAACGGAUAUCUUGGCUCUUGCAACGAUGAAGAACGCAGCGAAAUGCGAUACCUAGUGUGAAUUGCAGAAUUCCGCGAAUCAUCGAGUUUUUGAACGCAAGUUGCGCCCGAGGCUCGUCCGAGGGCAUGCCUGCCUGAGCGUCCAC
rnacentral:rRNA from 1 species